GAUGAACGCUGGCGGCGUGCCUAACACAUGCAAGUCGAGCGAACAGACGAGGCGUUUGCUCCGCUGUCGUUAGCAACGGAUGGGUGAGUCACAAGUGGACUACCUACCUCUCAGACAUGGGUAACUUCGGGUAAGCGUAGCUACUACCGGAUAAUUUAUCGAACCGCAUGGUUCUAUAGUGAUAUACGGUUUUUCUGUCACUUAUAGAUGGAUCCGCGCCGCAUUAGCUGGUUGGUAAGGUAAUGGCUUACCAAGGCAACGAUGGGUAGCCGACCGGAGAGAGGGGUCGCCGACACGGGAGCUGAGACAGGGACCAGACUCCUGCGGGAGGCCGCAGAAGGGAAUCUGACGCAAUGGGGGAGAGCCUGACAGAGCAACGCCGCGUGAGUGAUGAAGGUCCUCGGAGAGGGAAGCUCUGUUAUUAGGGAAGAACAAAUGUGUGAGUAACUGUGCACGUAUUGACGGUACCUGCAGAAAAAGCCACGGCUAACUACGUG
rnacentral:rRNA from 1 species